rnacentral:rRNA from 1 species
GGAAUAUUGGACAAUGGACGCAAGUCUGAUCCAGCGACGCCGCGUGGGUGAUGAAGGCCUUCGGGUUGUAAAGCCCUGUGGGCAGGGAAGAAAACGGCUGAGUUAAAUAAGCUCGGUCCUUGACGGUACCUGCUCAGAAAGCACCGGCUAACUCUGUGCCAGCAGCCGCGGUAAGACAGAGGGUGCAAACGUUGCUCGGAAUUACUGGGCGUAAAGCGCGUGUAGGCGGAUUGGUGUGUCAGAUGUGAAAUCCCUGGGCUCAACCCAGGAACUGCACCUGAAACUACCAGUCUUGAGUGGUGGAGAGGGAAGUGGAAUUCCUGGUGUAGAGGUGAAAUUCGUAGAUAUCAGGAGGAACACCAGUGGCGAAGGCGGCUUCCUGGACACCAACUGACGCUGAGACGCGAAAGCGUGGGGAGCAAAC